UUGGAAGGUAGAGUGGUGUCAAAGUUUUUUCCUUAACCUUCUGGGCCUUAUUUCCAGCUCAAGGUAAUCUGCAUGCCAAAACCACCGGUCUUGGAGGCCUGCCCUGGGAUCCUACAGGAUCAAAUGAGCACCCAAGAGAGAAGAGUCACAGUGUGUACUUUUGAAGCAUCUGCAACAUUUAAGAAAACAUGAUUUUCUAUGUAAGGCUCGGUUUCAUCCUCAAAAAAUUCUGCUGCAUCACCUCUGUUCUUGUACUGUUGGAAUAAUGGAAGUCCAAAUAUUUGUAGUGAUCCUGUGAAUAAUGAGGGUCAAGGAAAAAUCACCUUAAGUCCACGAAAUGCCUGGGGGCUAGAGAACACUGAGAAGUAUAAAUGACUAUGGAGCAAGAAUCUCGACCACCUGAGCUCUCUGGACCGCCCACAGGGGCCUGCUGCACUGCCGUGGUCUCAUCAAUUUCGGCUGUUUGGUGCCCAGAUUUUAUUGGCUGUUACAUGUUUUGAACAUCAUGCGUGAACAUAAGAUUACGAGAGGGACCAACACCAG
rnacentral:lncRNA from 1 species